UUUCUCUUUGACCUGUGAUUAUGGAAAAAGAAUUUGCUAAGUUAACACUUGAUGAAGAAGAAACAAUUUUACAAGUACAAGGUGAGCUGAAUUUGGAAAAAGAAGGAAACUCUUUUCGUUUGGUGGGAUGUUUUUUAACAGCCAGUGUUAUCCACUUUCCGGCAAUGAAAAGCACCAUAGAAAACCUGUGGCAUCCAGUUAGAGGAGUUCAGAUCCGAGACUUAGGAGAGAAACAUUUUCUAUUCCAAUUUUUUCAUGCUAUGGAUAUGGAUAGAGUUUUGAAAGGUUUUCCAUAGACAUUCAAUAACCACUUUCUGAUUCUACAUAUGCUACAAUGAGAGGAAGAUCUGUUACGAGUCCCUUUAAUCUUUUCUCCUUUUUGUGUACAAAUCCAUGAUAUUCCAAUGUGGUUUUUCUCUGAAAUUUUGGCAAGGCAAGUAGGUAAUUUUUUGGGCAAAUUUUUGGAGUAUGAUAGUUCAGAUUUAGGGAAACGGAAUAGGAAUUUUAUGCAAAUUCGGGUUCAAUUAGAUGUUCGCCACAUGUUAAAGAGGAAAAAAUAGAUUAUGUUUUCUAGGAAAUGUUCAUACGUUAGAUUUAAAUAUGAAAGACUAACUUUUUUCUAUUUCUAUUGUGGUCGGCUGGGUCACAGUGAUUCUUUUUGUGAGGCAAAGAUGGUGUUAGGGGUGGAAGUGGCGGUAAUAGGCUGGGAUUUGUCUUUACGAGCGCAAUCCAAGAGAGCUUUGGUAAUAAAUAGUAUUUGGUUGCGUGAAGAUGGAGAAGAAGAGUCAGAUGAAAGUCUUAAUAGAGAUCGUAAGUCAGAAUACAAGCCAUGGGGAAUACAGAAUAAGCUGGAGAUAGGAAAAACCAUUGAUCAUGGUUUGGGUAUUAAUUUAAAAAGUAAUUUGUCCUCUGCCUCUCAAUAAGUGAAAAAUAUAUUGGCCAACCAGGCUCAGUCUGCAAUGGAACAUGAUUUGGAGAAAAGGGUGAUAAUUGGAGAGGAAGGAAAAAAAUCCUUAGGGGGAAAGAGAAGAUUCAUCACCAAGCGAAGAAGGCGAAACUGCAACAGUAAGGAAUUAAAGAAUGUUGGGCAAUGACCUUUUUUCAUUGGUGACUGCCAAGAGGCAAGCUGAUUGAUCGCAAUGAAAAUCUUAAAUUGGAAUGUUUGUGGUUUGGGGAAUCCACAGACAAUUCGCAGGCUUCGACACACACUGAAGAUACACAUCCCCCAAAUGGUCUUCUUUAUAGAGACAAAGAUUAAUAAAGUACAGAUGGAACGAGUGCGAAGAAGUUGUGGUUUUAUCAAUGGCAUUGAUGUAAAUUUCGAUGGUUUGAGAGAAGGUUUAUGCUUAACUUGGAAAAGCGAUGUUUUUAUUACGUUUCAAAGUUUCUCAAAAAAGGCAUAUUGACGUAUUUAUUGACAACCAAAAUAAUGGAAAAAAAUUGAGAUUUACAGGUUUCUAUGGUUAUCCUUAUGCACAAGAGAGGGAUGAAUCAUAGAAUCUACUAAGAGGUUUGUGUAGCAAUGAGGAACUGCCUUAGUUUGUUUGCGGAGAUUUUAAUGAAAUCAUGUAUGGGUAUGAAAAAAAAAGAGGGAUACCUAGAGAGGGAAGAAGAAUGGAAGCUUUUCGUAAUACUUUAGAAGAUUGUCGACUAAUGGAUGUGGGCUAUUCUGGAAAAUGGUUCACUUGGGAAAGAGGGAAUUUACCAGAAACAAACAUUCGAGAGCGUUUGGACAAAGGAGUGGCCAACGAAGAUUGGAUGUCAGUGUUUCCUGAAGUCACCAUUCAACAUUUGGUGCACUCGAUCUCCGAUCAUUGUCCCCUUUAAAUAACCACAAAAAAAAAGAUGAUAAUAGAAGAAGUCAGAAAAAGUUUAAAUUUGAGGCUUGGUGGGUAUUAGAGGAAACAUUCAAAGCUGAAGUUAAAUUCAUGUGGGAAACAACAUCAGGAGAUGUUCUACAGAAAUUGUAGUACCUUUGAAAGGGUCUGGAGAAAUGGAUUGUACGAAACUCCCAGUCUAGAAGACGGAAAAAAGAACUCUUGACUUCAAAGUUGUUUAAAUUGAUGGAGGCUGAGACGAGUGAUAAUAAUUUAGCAGAGCUGAAUGAUACAAAGUUGUAAUUGAACUUUGAGAUUGACAAGGAUGAAAGAUACUAGGAGCAAAGAGCAAGAGUAAACUGGCUGAAACUUAGGGACAGAAAUACAGCUUUCUUUCGUAGUCUUGCAACACAAAAGUGGCAGAGAAACAGCAUUUGAAAGUUACAGAAUGCAAAUGAAAGAGCGACGGAGGAUAUGCAAGAAAUGACAGAAAUCCCUAGGACCUAUUUUCAGAAGUUAUUCGAGGCUAGUGAAAAAGGCCAUAAUGAACAUCUCUUAACAGGUGUUGAACGGUUUAUUACUGAAGAGGAUAACUGUAGACUCAUAGUGCAAUAUACAAAGGAUGAGAUUAGGGAAGCACUGACAAGUAUGGGCGCUACAAAAGCACUAGGUGAAGAUGGUUUUCCAGCCUUGUUUUUUUAAAAAUAUUGGCUCAUUGUUGGGGAAGAAGUCUCGACUUUCUGUCUACAACAUCUGAAUGGAGGCAUGGAGGUUAGUCCAAUUAAUACCACACAUAUUGUGCUUAUUCCUAAAAAAGUAAAUCUGACCAACCUUUCCCAUUUUCGUCCCAUUAGCUUAUGUAAUGUCAUUUAUAAAAUAUUGGUAAAAGCUAUUGCUAAUCGCUUUAGAAGAGUCUUGGAGAAAUGCAUUGACAAUGCACAGAGUGCUUUUGUGCUAGGAAGACUAAUUUCAAACAAUGUAUUAUCAGAGUACGAAAUUUUACAUACCCUAAAGAGUAAAAAAAUAGGGCAAAAGGGACUGAUGACAGUUAAAUUGGAUAUGAGUAAAGCAAAUGAUAGAGUCGAAUGGACUUUUGUAUAGGAGAUGAUGAGGAAAAUGGGUUUUGACCCAAAUUGGAUUGAUUCUAUUAUGGAAUGUGUAUCUACUGUCUCAUAUUCAGUCGUACUUAAUGGCCAAGUUGGGGAUAUAUUUCAACCUACGAGAGGAUUACGACAAAGUGGCCCUUUGAGUCCGUUUCUAUUUUUGAUUUGUGGAGAAGGCUUAUCUAGCGUAAUGAGGCUGGCAUUUCUUGAAAGGCAUUUAAAAGGGGUUAAGGCGAGCAGAAGAGGACCACAAAUAUCACAUUUGCUCUUUGCAGAUGAUUGCAUUCUAUUUGGAAAUGCUACUAAAAGGGGAGCUGGAUUCUUAAAAAAUAUUCUAUGCGAGUAUGGAAAUUGUUCGGGACAAAGAGUCAAUUUUGAUAAAUCUACGGUUUUCUUUAGCUCUAAUACCCGAGAGGAAGAAAAAAGACUAGUUACUAACAUAUUGGGCGUAUGAAGUUCUAAUGACCCAGAAUGUUACCUUGGAUUACCGAAUAUGGUAGGCAGAAGGAAAAAUGAGGCAUUUCAAAACUUAAAAGACAGAUUUAAAUAGAGAAUUGAAAAUUGGAGUAUUCGGCAUCUCUCUCAAGGUGAGAAAGAAGUUUUCAUUAAAGCUAUUCUUCAAGCUAUUCCUACGUUUAAAAUGACCUAUUUUUUACUUCUCAAGACUUUAUGUGAUGAUCUUGAGAGCAUUAUUGCGAAGUUUUGGUGGCAGAAAGGUUAUGGUAAAAGGGACAUUCAUUGGUGUGCUUGGAUAGCUCUAUGUAUCGCAAAAGAAAAUGGUGGUUUAGGUUUUCAAAGCCUUGAUCAAUUUAAUGUUGCCUUAUUAGCCAAGCAAGGUAGCACUUUAUUAAUUUCCCAAAUUCAUUAUUAGCACAGGUCUUAAAAGCUAAAUAUUAUCCACAGUCAGAUUUCAUCUAUGCACAGCUAGGGAAUUUACCUUUUCUGACCUGGAAAAGUAUUUGGGCAGCAAAAGGGCUAGUGCAAGAUGGUUUAUGUUGGCGAGUUAGGAAAGGAGACCAAAUUUCUGUUUGGAAUGAUCAUUGGAUUCCAGGUGUAGAUAUUGAUAGAAGUAAUGACAACAUCAACAAUAUAGGAAUUGAGUUAGUUUUGGACUUAAUUGAAGCAACAACAAGAAAGUGGAAAGCUGAUCUAAUUGAAAAUACUUUUCGAGAAAAUACUGUAUAGAAGAUUUUGCAAAUUCCCCUGGCGGAAGAAGAACAUAACAACUUCCAUGUCUGGCGAGGAGAACAUUUUGGCAAAUUUACAGUCAGAAGUGCCUAUAAACUAUUACAAGAGGCAACUACGGAUCCUAGUGCUUAUUUAAUACAGACCGAAACAAAAAAUUUCUAUAGGAAAUUAUGGAAUUUACACCUCCUAUCAAAAGUUGCCAUCACUAUAUAGCGUCUUUUAUGGAAUUUUAUCCCUACCCUAAAGAAUUUAAGACUAAGAAAAGUGGCUUCAGAUAGCUUAUGCCCCCGGUGUCGAAAUGGAGAAGAAGAUAGCAACCAUGUGUUUAGACAGCGCCCUAUAACAAUAGAAACAUGGCAAAAUCUUAAUCUCUCAUGGGUCACAAAUAAUGCAAUUCCAAAUCAGUGGUAUUGGCUUACCUGGGUUUUUACCAUAGGUAACAGUCAAUAGUGUCGCCUUUUUUGCUGUGCUGCAUGGGUGAUAUGAAGUGCCAGAAACCAACUUGUUCGUGAGGGGAAAAUAACAACAUGACAAGAAUUAUCAAAAAAAGUUUACAGUUACAUAGCAGAAAUAGAUGGAUCGGAAGAAAAACCAUCUACUUUAGGUGAUAACAGAAGUCAAAGACGGAUCACAAGAAAUACGACAGUAACUAUCUAUUUUGACGCAACAUUUGACAGCAAAUAUUCAAGAUCAACUUCGGGUCUGGUGGUGUGGGGGGGGAGAUGGACGAGUUUCUUGCCUUAAAAUCAGUACUCCACUCCGCAAUAUCGUCCCCGUUCAUGGCGGAGGCAUAUGCAGGAUUACAAGCAGUAAAAUUAGGGAUCUCACUGGGUUUUCAGUCAGUUAUUAUAAUGGGAGACUCAAAAACAGUUAUAAAAAAAAUGCAACUUAACAACGACAGAUAAGUCAGUGCUAGGGGUGGACAUCCGAGAUAUUCAAAGAAAGAAACAAUUUUUCCAAGAAAGCAAUUUCAGUUUAUUCACAGAUCAGAGAAUAGUCAAGCUCAUGAACUUGCAACAGAAGCUUUAAGAAAGGGAGAGGAAACAUACCUGGAGGAUGCAGCCUUCACUUGCCUUCAGCGUGGAAAUGAAAUCUCCUAGGAAAUUGCUAUCGUUUUGAACGGCUGGCAUGGGAACUUGAAACAUCAGAUAUUAGUGGACACCAACUGUUUUGAUACCGACUGAAUUGGACGUUUGGAUUAGAUGGUUUUUGUUUCUUUCAUUUUUCUGAUUUUUUUGUUUAGUGUGGGCAUCUUAUCUUUUGGGCCAAUUUUUCUUUUAUUUUUAGGGUCCACUUUCAUUGAUCCAAAAGCCUCUAUUAUAUUGCUCAUUUUAAGAUAAAUAAAGUUUAGUCGG
rnacentral:lncRNA from 1 species